rnacentral:rRNA from 1 species
UACGUAGGGUGCGAGCGUUAAUCGGAAUUACUGGGCGUAAAGGGUGCGCAGGCGGUUCUGCAAAUCAGGCGUGAAAUCCCCGGGCUUAACCUGGGAAUGGCGCUUGAAACUACGGGACUGGAGUAUGGCAGAGGGAGGUGGAAUUCCACGUGUAGCGGUGAAAUGCGUAGAGAUGUGGAGGAACACCGAUGGCGAAGGCAGCCUCCUGGGCCAAUACUGACGCUCAUGCACGAAAGCGUGGGGAGCAAACAGG